rnacentral:rRNA from 1 species
UUGGGGGGAUAAAGCUCCUACCAAAGACAAUGGAUGCAUGGCCGGGAGUGGAAGAUCUUUUUCGGCCCCAUUGGGGACUGGAACCACGCCCCAAAUUUCCUACGGGAGGGCGGCAGUUGGGAAUUCUUCCCCCAAUGGGCGAAAAGCCUGAUGGAGCCACCGCCGCGUUGGUGAUGAAGGCUUUCGGGUCGUAAAGCACUGUUGUAUGGGAAGAACAGCUAGAAUAGGAAAUGAUUUUAGUUUGACGGUACCAUACCAGAAAGGGACGGCUAAAUACGUGCCAGCAGCCGCGGUAAUACGUAUGUCCCGAGCGUUAUCCGGAUUUAUUGGGCGUAAAGCGAGCGCAGACGGUUUAUUAAGUCUGAUGUGAAAGCCCGGAGCUCAACUCCGGAAUGGCAUUGGAAACUGGUUAACUUGAGUGCAGUAGAGGUAAGUGGAACUCCAUGUGUAGCGGUGGAAUGCGUAGAUAUAUGGAAGAACACCAGUGGCGAAGGCGGCUUACUGGACUGCAACUGACGUUGAGGCUCGAAAGUGUGGGUAGCAAACAGGAUUAGAUACCCUGGUAGUCCACACCGUAAACGAUGAACACUAGGUGUUAGGAGGUUUCCGCCUCUUAGUGCCGAAGCUAACGCAUUAAGUGUUCCGCCUGGGGAGUACGACCGCAAGGUUGAAACUCAAAGGAAUUGACGGGGACCCGCACAAGCGGUGGAGCAUGUGGUUUAAUUCGAAGCAACGCGAAGAACCUUACCAGGUCUUGACAUCCUUUGAAGCUUUUAGAGAUAGAAGUGUUCUCUUCGGAGACAAAGUGACAGGUGGUGCAUGGUCGUCGUCAGCUCGUGUCGUGAGAUGUUGGGUUAAGUCCCGCAACGAGCGCAACCCUUAUUGUUAGUUGCCAGCAUUCAGAUGGGCACUCUAGCGAGACUGCCGGUGACAAACCGGAGGAAGGCGGGGACGACGUCAGAUCAUCAUGCCCCUUAUGACCUGGGCUACACACGUGCUACAAUGGCGUAUACAACGAGUUGCCAGCCCGCGAGGGUGAGCUAAUCUCUUAAAGUACGUCUCAGUUCGGAUUGUAGUCUGCAACUCGACUACAUGAAGUCGGAAUCGCUAGUAAUCGCGGAUCAGCACGCCGCGGUGAAUACGUUCCCGGGUCUUGUACACACCGCCCGUCACACCAUGGGAGUUUGUAAUGCCCAAAGCCGGUGGCCUAACCUUUUAGGAAGGAGCCGUCUAAGCAGGACAGAUGUUGA